AGCAGCCGCGGUAAUUCCAGCUCCAAUAGCGUAUAUUAAAGUUGUUGCAGUUAAAAAGCUCGUAGUUGAAUUUCGGGGUUAGUAGGCUGGUCGUGCCUAUGGUAUGUACUGGUUUUACUGAUUCCUCCUUCUUGAAGAGCUGUAAUGUCAUUAAUUUGGUGUUGCAGGGAAACAGGACUGUUACUUUGAAAAAAUUAGAGUGUUUAAAGCAGGCUAACGCCUGAAUACAUUAGCAUGGAAUAAUGAAAUAGGACGUUUGAUCCUAUUUUGUUGGUUUCUAGGAUUGACGUAAUGAUUAAUAGGGAUAGUUGGGGGCAUUAGUAUUCAAUUGUCAGAGGUGAAAUUCUUGGAUUUAUUGAAGACUGACUACUGCGAAAGCAUUUGCCAAGGAUGUUUUCAUUA
rnacentral:rRNA from 1 species